AAACGAUUGUUUUUCAGUCACAGUGCUGAGCUAAUUUAAGCACCAUCUGAGCCAAAACAUCACAAGCUUUGCAGCAUUCAGUUCGCGCUUGAUUCCAUCACCCAGACAUGGUCUCCUGCGGGGGGGGGUGAAGGGCAGGUGAGACGUCACCCUACCCCAUGUGGAUAAACAGUUGUCCCAACAACCCGGAAAGUCACUCCUCCCUCCUGGCCAGCCUCGCCUUUUCCCUCAGGCUGCUCCCCACAUCUGUGGCCCGCAGCUCCGCGGGGCGUCGUCUGCCGAGCAAUGCUACCCAUUUAUCCAGAUGCAGACGAGUGCUUGGAGCAUUUCCAGGACGCUCCAGCUGCGGGCGGCGCCUCGCGAGUCCCCGGCUUGGGUCCCCGUCCUCGCGCGAGUUGGGGGCUACGCGCGCAACAGGGCUGGGCUGUGAUUGGCCUGAACCAGAAAGGAGUUCCGCCCAUCUGACUAGCGAUUGGUGAAAAUGUGAGUAUGACUGGCAAUCUGACUAAUGAGAAGUGCGAGGAGGCCCUCUAGGGGCAGAGCGCCAAGAGAUGGCUGUGCGCGCGGAGCCAGCUGGACCGGACCGCUAUGAUGGGAAAGGAGGGUGACCCUGCUGUGGUACAGCUUCUAAAGGCCGAGUGCCUUGGUUCACUGCUGACUUCUAAACGUUGGUUCACGAACAACUUCUAUUGUUCAUGCACCAUAAAAUGAUCUUUUCCUUCACCUUCAAGAAUUUGCGUGCAACUCUCCCUAAGUCCAGACUUAUUUAAUUUUUUUUUUUACUUUCUUGGUUAUUGAUCUUUUAUAUUUCAUGCUUUCAUAUAUUUAUAUUUCACGGAGUCAAUGUUAUUAUGUGUGUUUUUUCCAGAAAAUGUAUCUAGUUGCAGUUUUGUUUUGCUGAAGUUCUUUUUCCCAAUAGGAGACUUGUGGGCUAGAAUGCAGAUUUUUAAAUCAUAUUAAUGAACAUUUAAGUGCAAAUAAUGUUUUCUUAUACCCUUAAAGUAGUCUUAGCUGGCGGACACUGUGACAUGCCGGUAGCCCCAACUAUUUGGGAAGCUGAGGCAGG
rnacentral:lncRNA from 1 species